GUUCCAAGUCUCAGAUCAUAUCCAGGUAGGAAUGCUUGGCUCCUCCCCCUGGGUGGAGCAUCUGACAGUGGGAUGAUGGAAUUUAUCAGUCAUGCAAUGAGACUCAGUGGCCCAUUAACAGAAGAUAUCCCCCUGGAGUUUUGAGGGAUGGGGUAUGGAAGAGAUAAGAAACACUGCCCCAGCUGGUUUUAACAGAUGGUAAUAGAAGACAUACUUCUCAUUACAGCUUGCCUAAACAACUGAAUUAAGUGUGAAAAACAAAAAUUCUCUCUCUGUACUCACAGAUGCCUGAAAUUCUGCUGAGAGCUAGACCUAAAGCUCAUAGCAGACAGAAAGGUACAAAUGCUGAAGCCACAACUACCAAAGUGCUUUGAGAUCUAGCAGAUGUCCUUAGACAAGUUUCUCAAUGGCAGGUCUACCAAAAACCCCAACAAAACAGGUCUGCAAAUUUUCUCAAGCUAUGGGUGAUGCUUUAUUCUUCUCAGAUACAGAAGCAGUGUUCAAAUUCAUAGUUCAGAUUCAUAAGCACAGUUCUAUUAGGACUCCCCAGCCAAUUUAUUUUCCAGAAAUAUCCUUCAGACACUUAAUCUUCAUUAAUUAAUUGAUGAGGGAGCCUGAGCCUACCUCUAGACACAAAGAUUUGCUACCUUGGGCACAGAACUCCUGUAGGGCUUAAGUGUCAUAGCAGAAAGGCUUUGAGAUGCUGGUAGAAUAAAACAGAACAUAAUUCCUUCCUCUUACACAAAUCAACUCCAGCUUGCUUCACAAAUCAUCAACAGGUUGGUGGUUGCUCUUCAGGCAAACAGCUUCCAAUAUCAACAGUGCUGAUCUAGGAAAGAGGAAAGUGGGUUUGGGAGAGUUUUAUUCUCCAAGCACAGUAUUGUUCUUAUCCUGCUUUCUCCUGUUUGAAUUUCUCCAUGCAAAGGGGGAAGGGCAGAAGAAGAGGCUGCUUUCCAACCUGUUACUUUUGCCAGCCAAAUCUUCACACUUUAUAGAUACAGAGGGAUUUUUUGAAAGGCAAAAGAUGAUACAGGCAAAAGUUGCAGACUUAUUUGAAGAACAGAGUAAACCGAAGAGCCUAUACUGUUAUUUUAAUAAUUAAUAUUCCAUUUCAGAUCAUAAUAAUUUGCCUCCAUUACAUUUCUGACAUUUUUAAAGCAAGAACCAUUGCUAAUUUGUCAAGGAUUUCUUUGUAAAAGUGUGAGAAUUGUUCUUUUAAAAACUAUCGAAUAUCAGGAAUUAAAUAAAUGAAGUUUACAGAAACCUCAAGCAUAAUUUCUUCCUAAAGAUCAUUUACUGUUCCUAAACUGUAUGGAAUGAAUUUGUUAUCAUGUUUGCAAAUAUAAAUGCUCAAAAAUUGAGUAUUAAUUGCAUGAUAUAUUUUGGGAGCAUUCUAGAAGUUUAUAAUUGAAUCAGCUAUCUUUAGCUUUUUUCAUUUGUCAAAAAAAAACAUGUUAUAGCUGCAAACUAAUCAAUUAACAUUUUGUGAUAUUUGUCUGAGGAAGAUAAAGGGGCUUGUUUUGUUCUUUAAACACUGCCUUAGUCACUUUACUAGAGUGAUUUUUAAGAAUAAUGUCAUCUGAAUAAGGGUAAUGAUCUAGAAAGACACUGAAAUGAGACAAAAGCAAUUUGAAUUUAAUGUCAGCUUUUGAUAUGGAUUUUUUUCUGCCUCUCAUCUAAAAAGUUUAAUAAACAGAAUCAGGAUCAAGCUGUGACCAUAGUGCUGCUCACUCUGGGCUGGCCAUGUUUACACUGUUGAUAUCUCAUCCAACACAGCCGUGGCAGCUUAUCAAACCGUGCCUGGCAAGUCUUUGGGAAAGUGUUACUUAGCCUUGGGGGAAAACUGUCCCAGAGCUCUUCUGAACAGCAGUGCCACUGGGAUGCACUCCCCGGCACUUCUGAAUUUCCCAGUGCACCUGUAAUUCCCAGGAAGUUGAUCAGAGCAUGGGACAGUUCUAUCAGGUCUCCCAGUGAUCAAACAUACACCCCAGAUACCCCCAACAGUGGGCUGGAAAAUUACAGGGAUGGAAGUACAUCUUAGGGUUUAGCUGCUCCAGGGGCCUAGCUGGGAUCUCUAUCAAUCCCUAGGAACAGCAACUCCUGCCAGCAGACAGGUGGAACAAACACACUCCACAGCCUUUGCUUUUAGGCACAGCAGAAGCCAGCUGGAGAGUUAGGGAAAUGUCUUGGAUCCUCCUCCUUUUUGCAGCAUGCAUCUGCCAGCCUUCUGCGCCCCAUGUUCCCUGGAGCAGGUGGGCAGUGUGCGUAGUGGCACCACUGCCCUGCUCACCACCACCUUGCCAAACAAUGGGGAAGUGCAGUGCAAUGGAAAGAGCUGUCGUGGCUGUGAUAAUGAGGCUGAGGAAUGCAAACAUACACUCCAGGUGCUCCACCCAGGGGGAGGAGCCAAGCAUUCCUACCUGGAUAUAAUCUGAGACUUGGAACACCUUGGCCAUCUUUUUUCCACUAGAUUCCCAAAAGAAAACCAGACAGUUCUACAUCACCACUGGACCUUCAGAGGAAAACUACACUCUUCUACAGGAUCACUGCUUCCACAG